GUACCGUAAGAAUAAGGAUCGGCUAACUCCGUGCCAGCAGCCGCGGUAAUACGGAGGCUCCGAGCGUUAUCCGGAUUUAUUGGUUUUAAAGGGUGCUCAGGCGGGGGAUUAAGUCGGCGGUGAAAUUUUGCAGCUCAACUGUAAAAGUGCCUUCGAAACUGGUUUCCUUGAGUGCGGAUGAGGUAGGCGUAAUUUGUGGUGUAGCGGUGAAAUGCAUAGAUAUCACGAGGAACUCCGAUUGCGCGAGGCAGCUCUCCAAGCCUGUAACCGACGCUCAAGCACAGAAGGCGUGGGGAUCCAACAGGAUUAGAUACCCUGGUAGUCC
rnacentral:rRNA from 1 species